rnacentral:rRNA from 1 species
GACGAACGCUGGCGGCGUGCCUAAUACAUGCAAGUAGAACGCUGAAGGAGGAGAUUGCUUCUCUGGAUGAGUUGCGAACGGGUGAGUAACGCGUAGGUAACCUGCCUGGUAGCGGGGGAUAACUAUUGGAAACGAUAGCUAAUACCGCAUAAGAUUGACUAUUGCAUGAUAGUCAGUUAAAAGGUGCAAUUGCAUCACUACCAGAUGGACCUGCGUUGUAUUAGCUAGUUGGUGGGGUAACGGCUCACCAAGGCGACGAUACAUAGCCGACCUGAGAGGGUGAUCGGCCACACUGGGACUGAGACACGGCCCAGACUCCUACGGGAGGCAGCAGUAGGGAAUCUUCGGCAAUGGACGGAAGUCUGACCGAGCAACGCCGCGUGAGUGAAGAAGGUUUUCGGAUCGUAAAGCUCUGUUGUAAGAGAAGAACGAGUGUGAGAGUGGAAAGUUCACACUGUGACGGUAUCUUACCAGAAAGGGACGGCUAACUACGUG